CCACAACAGCUGAUCAGAGAUGCGACAAAGUGAGCUCCAUUCAAUCAUCAAUUCCUCAAGGUUCCUAUGUGUACACCAUACCAUACCCUCCCGAGAUAGAAUCAUACUCCAAAGGGCCCAAAUCUUGUCACAGUGUAGAAGGAGGUGACUAGUAGAUUCUGUACAUAUGCCACAAACGCUGCAAAGUCCCAUAUUCUCUACCACCAAGCCCCUCUUCAUCAAGUUAUCCUUAACUGCUAUCCUGUUUAAAACUGCUUGCCAAAGAAAGAUAGCGACUUUAGGGGGUGUAACCUUUCUAAUUCUCUUUGAUAUAACCAUAGGAUCAGCUCCCAAGAUUUUGGCCUCUGCUAGAUAGUAAAUGGCCUUAACCGAGAAGCCACCAAGAUGAUCACCUACACCAUCAUUCAAUCACAUCCCUCCAUUUUGUUAGCUUACAAUUAAUUGAUGCGUUGUCCCGCCAAUUUGAUACUUCCCCAAUCAACACCGUGGCUGUCCUUACUGAUUCAAAUGACAAGUUAAUUCUUAGUUCUAUGAUUUUUCGUCCUGAAUGGUUAGAUUUUAAGGAUGUCCAUGAAGAAGUACAACAAGAUCCAACAUUACAUGCCAUUAUUUCAGCUUUACAAAAGGGGGACACCACAAAACCUGGGUUUGUACUUCAGCAUGGGGUUCUUUUGUAUCAGGACAGAUUAGUUAUGUCUGCUUCAUCUACUUUUAUUCCUACUAUUCUCAAGGAAUUUCACAGCACUCCUCAAGGUGGGCAUUCUGGGUUUUAUCGCACUUAUCGUCGUUUGGCUCCUAAUUUGUAUUGGAUGGGUAUGAAGAAAGAUAAGGUUCCUAUGUGUACACCAUACCAUACCCUCCCGAGAUAGAAUCAUACUCCAAAGGGCCCAAAUCUUGUCACAGUGUAGAAGGAGGUGACUAGUAGAUUCUGUACAUAUGCCACAAACGCUGCAAAGUCCCAUAUUCUCUACCACCAAGCCCCUCUUCAUCAAGUUAUCCUUAACUGCUAUCCUGUUUAAAACUGCUUGCCAAAGAAAG
rnacentral:lncRNA from 1 species